rnacentral:rRNA from 1 species
CCUAAAAUCUAGCUCGAAAAAGUACCCACCCAAAUGACACCUCCAACCUGUCGCCCUGCAAACAAAACAUUUUAUAAUUUUAGUACAGGAGAUCGAAAAAUUCCUAGACGCUUCAGAUAAAGUACCGUAAGGGAAUGAUGAAAUAAUAAUGAAAUAACCCUAAAGCCCUUAAAUAGCAGAGAUGCCCCCUCGUACCUUUUGCAUCAUGGUCUAGCCAGUCUAACCAAGCAAAAAGAAACUUUAAGUUUGACAUCCCGAAACUAAGCGAGCUACUUCAAAACAGCCUUAAGGGGCCAACCCAUCUCUGUUGCAAAAGAGUGGGAAGAUUUUUUAGUAGAGGUGACAUGCCUAUCGAGCUUAGAAAUAGCUGGUUACUCAGAAAAAGAGUCUUAGCUCUACCUUAAGUUUUUUUAUUCACCAAAUAAACUCAUUAAACUUAAGAGCUAUUCAAAUAAGGCACAGCUUAUUUGAAACAGGAUACAACCUCUGACACCGGGUAAAUAAAGGACCCCCCUCCAAAUAAAGUAGGCCUAGAAGCAGCCACCUUUAAAAUAGCGUUAUAGCUUAAUCUGAAGAAUCCACAAAUCCCUAAAUCUCUAAACAACCCUUCACUACUACUGAGUCAUUUUAUAUCGAUAUAAAACUGAUUAUGCUAGAACUAGUAACAAGAAACUGCCCUUCUCCAAAAUGUAAGCAUAAACCAAAACGGACAAUACAUUGGUAAUUAACAUAAAUGCACAAAGCAUAAUAACCCACAACUAGAAAACCUUAUGCCCCUAAAUGUUAAUCUAACACUAGAACAUUGCUGGAAAGAUUAAAAGGGAGAGAAGGAACUCGGCAAACCUUAGCCCCGCCUGUUUACCAAAAACAUCGCCUCUUGCUCACCAUAAGAGGUCUAGCCUGCCCAGUGACAAAAAGUUUAACGGCCGCGGUACCCUGACCGUGCGAAGGUAGCAUAAUCACUUGUUCUUUAAAUGAGGACUUGUAUCAACGGCAUCACGAGGGSUACACUGUCUCCUCCCCCCAAUCAGUGAAACUGAUCUCCCCGUGAAGAAGCGGGGAUUAAACCAUAAGACGAGAAGACCCCAUGGAGCUUCAAGUUGGCAUUUAAUAUGUACUUAUACACCCACUAAGCCAUAAAACCCUAAAUGCUCACUUUGGGUUGGGGGGACCGCGGAGUACAAUAUAACCUCCACGACUAAUGGGCCCCGCCCUUAUCUACGAGCUACACCUCUAAGAAUCAAUAAACUGAUGUUUAAUGACCCGAUAACUCGAUUAACGAACCAAGUUACCCUGGGGAUAACAGCGCAAUCCACUUCAAGAGUCCUUAUCGACAAGUGGGUUUACGACCUCGAUGUUGGAUCAGGGUAUCCCAGUGGUGCAGCAGCUAC